rnacentral:rRNA from 1 species
AACGUGGGUAACCUGCCUUAUAGUGGGGGAGUAGCCUUUCGAAAGGAAGAUUAAUACGCAUAAGAUUGUAGUAUCGCAUGAUAUAGCAAUUAAAAGGAAGCAAUCCGCUAUAAGAUGGACCCGCGUCGCAUUAGCUAGUUGGUGAGGUAAUGGCUCACCAAGGCGACGAUGCGUAGCCGACCUGAGAGGGUGAUCGGCCACAUUGGGACUGAGACACGGCCCAGACUCCUACGGGAGGCAGCAUG